rnacentral:tRNA from 1 species
CUAAGGGAAGCGGGCGCCAGGCCGGAGCGAUCUGGUCUAUGCUUGCUUUACUUACAUCUACCGGGUUCCCGCAUCGCGUCAGCGAUGCGUCUCCGGCAACGGCGCAAGCCGUUGCGUCAAACGGAGUUCCGGAUCCCGCCGUCCACGCAUCCCUUCUCAGAGGUCAGCAGCGUUUGAUCGGGCUUUGCUCGAUUGCGUGCUGUGUGACGAGGGCUAGUAGCUCAGUUGGUUAGAGCGCGCGCUUGAUAAGCGUGAGGUCGGAAGUUCAAAUCUUCCCUGGCCCACCAACUAUGCGAGCGCGAGCUCGGGACGAUGAGAGCGGCGGCUCGACCCAACAAGAUUGGGGCCGUAGCUCAGCUGGGAGAGCGCCUGCUUUGCAAGCAGGAGGUCAUCGGUUCGAUCCCGUUCGGCUCCACCAGUUCUUCACAGGACUUCUGCAGAAAGAAAAUGAAUUGCGCAUGAGAGAGCGGACGGAGNUCUGCGCUUGUGCGUUGGCUGUUAGACAUUGUUGAUCGGAUGCAAAGCACGCUUGGACGCAAGUUCACGCGCGCAUGAUGGCGUUUGCUGUUGUGCGGCGAUGGAGUUGGGUUCUGAGCAGUGCACGAGUAAUGAAGUAGCUAAGUUGUGCCGAGCCGUUGCGCACGGGACGCAGGAUGGGAGAGCUCCGAAGGCUUGCCCAUGGUUCUCAGAUGAAAGUCUGGGGGCCGUAGAUUGGAUCCGCAGAUACAAGAGCUGUGGUUGGCCCAGAUCUCGUCAACAAGCAAUUCCGCGGGUCGCGGAUGUUUGUCACUGUGUGUGAUGGGUUGUGAUCAAGCGUUUAAGGGCAUUUG